rnacentral:tRNA from 1 species
GCCAGCAUGGCAUAGUGGUUUGAGUGUUGGAUUAUGACUCUAGAAAUCAGGGUUCGAUUCCCAGCUCAGCCA